UUCAACCCGCAAUCCCUAAUGAAUUCGGAAAAACAAAUAAGGUUUGACAUUUUUCAGAUCGAGCGGCGGCGCUCCCGUCGGUGGAAGGGCUGCGGGAGGUGGUGGGCGGCGGAGAUCGGCGAGGCGAUCCAGCACAGCGGUGUACUGGAGGCUCGAGGCGGUGGCGGUCCAUGGCCAUGGUGACUCGGUCUUCUCGGAGGAAGAGAAGAGGGAGGGAGAUGAGGUGGGAUGGAGAGAAUAGAAGGGAAAAUAGGGACUGCGCGACUACCUACUGCUGGUCCGGUGGCGGCUCUGGUACUCCCUCCCUCAGGUCAGUUUUCUCUCACAAUUACUUCCCACCAGAUCGAGAUUGACAGAGGCGAUAGAGAUUCGGCGUUGGAUGUGUGUGGCGGCGUGGUAGGAGCAUGGGGAGGGGCGCCGUGUUGGUGGAGGUGACCAACAAAAUAGAGAAGCACUGGGAGGCUGCCGAUGCCAUGGAUGAGCGAUGGGGAGAGCCGUCGUGGUGGACGAGAACGACCACCACGGAUCCCUCGCCCCAAGUCAUGAUCCAGUUGCGGUCGUUCUUCAAAAUCUAUCUGCUUCAUCACAUCCGGAACCUCACACAUGUCACAGCCUCCCGUCUAGCACUGUGAUGCCGUUUUGGUUGCCAUCACUAUGCCACGGUCCUUCAUAGUGCGCUGUUUGCUUAGCACUAAUAGGUAGAAGAAUCAUAAAUCAAGUGCACCUACCAUAUUAUUGGCUCUUCUCUAAUCUGUAAGUCAUAUUAUUGAUUCAGUGCUAGGUAGAUUCUUUUUAUUGGCCAUGUUGUGAUGAGAACAUGGUGUGGCUGACUGCUUCAUAAUCCUGCUACUGAUACAUGUAUGCUGCUGAUUGGUCCUGAUAUACACUGCCUAUUGCUGCUAAUAGUAAUAUUGCUACUCAAUUUGAUAGGUAAAGUGGUAAUAGACGGUGAGAUUGUAUAGUGCACAUAUGCCAAUCAGCCAAUUGUCCUUUCUGUGAUGAAUUAGAGAAUAUUGCUCAUAUGUUAAUCAGCUCCUCCUCCCUAGCCUUGUUGUAGUCUGAACUUUAAAGUUUUCAUCCACUCAAUGUUGAUUCAGUCUAAGAUCUCUGGGAAGAAAUUAUUUUAACAAUAUUCACUCUAUUGUGCUUAUUGCGGUCAUGUGGAAUAUAUGGAAGCGAAGGAACUCCAAUCUCUUCUGGGAUGUUUAUGAGGAAUUGCACAUUACUGCUAGCAAGAUUGUUGAUGAUCUUAUAUAUUUUGGUCCAACGGGUAUUCAAAUGAAAUUAAUGAAGGGCUCUUAUGGAUUGGAGCACUAUGUUGUAUCAACUAUUUGUGAGAUUGUAAUUUUCCCUUCAUUUACUUUUCUAUUAAUCCCACCGUAUAGUUUGCCUUUGUAUAGUUCUGAGUUUUAUAAAGUGGUCCAGGCCGGCGUAAGCGCGCUGUAGUCCUCGGGAAAAAAUGCGGCGAGUGAUGCGUCGCCCUCUCUAUACUGAAUAUUAUGUUCUUCUGUACUACUCGAAGAAGUGAUGCGAGCAUGAAGAAGGCCUUAGAAAAGGUGCAUCUUGUUGAUGAGGUAAAGGAGGAAGAGGAGGUUGUGGUGGUUGGGGAUGGCACGCCGGAGGCUGAUGCUGGCCGAGAUGAACGAGAUGUUGGCCAAGAAGAGGCAUGUUUAGCAGUGGUGGUUGAUCCAUUGUGCGCCAAAAAAUUAGCAAAUCCAUCAGCAAACGGGAUUAUGCGGUUUGAGUCUACGUGAUGGCUACAUAUUCUUGAUAACAUCGUUGUGCAUCACCGUAAUGAUUUCUCGGCCUUUUGCAUGCUCAUUUGGUGGCAGAUUUGGAAGGAGAGAAACAGUAGGGUUUUCAAUGGCAAGGCAAGCGACUGCAUCGGAACCUGCAACCUCAUAAUCGACGAGCUGCACACUUGGCUGCGAACCGGAAUUAACCGCUCAAGGGCUACCUGUAUAAACUCAAGCCAAGCAAAUUCCGUGCAACAAUUGACAUACUUUCCUUGCCGAGUGUGGUUUUUUUACCUCCUAAUAGAUUGGUUCUGCUCUCUCGAGAAAUCUGUGAAUGAGCUUCUGUAGUUGAUAGUGCACACAAAGUGACUGGUUCCAAUAACGAGCAAGAAUGUCAGACCCAUUUAAAGCCCUUCCACUCGAGAGCAGUACUCAUCUAAAGGAGAUGGCACCGGAAGACAUGAGUGCUGUUUUGUGACUUCUACAAUCUAUGAUUCAGAUAACAACAUGUAGCAACGCCAUUUCUCAACUAAUUUUGUAGGUAUCUUGUGUUUACUACAGGAUAUUGAAGUUCUCUCCAGGAGUCAUAUUUUCAUUUUGCCUUGCCUAUUCCAGGAAGAGUGCCUAUUGAGAUUCAGCAUGAUAGUUCAAAUAGAGGGAAUUGGGUAGUGAGCUAGGUGCGUCCGAUAUAUUUUUUCUCCCACUGCAACGUGUUGGUUGAGAAUUUUUGCAUGCAAUAUCAAUUUAGGUUGGUUUGCUUGCUGCUCC